rnacentral:rRNA from 1 species
GGGAGGGUACAAGAGCGUAUGGUGAAUGCCUUGACAUAAAGAGGCGAUGAAGGACGUAGCAGCCUGCGAUAAGCUUCGGGGAGGUGGCAAGCAACCUUUGAUCCGGAGAUUUCCGAAUGGGGCAACCCGUUCCGGUGUUGAAUCGGAACAUUCCUCGGCGCAAGCCGUGGAAAGUAAACCUGGGGAAGUGAAACAUCUCAGUACCCAGAGGAAAAGAAAACAAAUCUUGUGUUUUGCACAAGAACAUUCCCUUAGUAGUGGCGAGCGAAAGGGGAAGAGCCAAAACUCACAAAGUUAAAUGUGUCGGCGAGUUUCAACGCAAGUUGGAACCACGCGGCGCGUUAAGGUUCGAGGACCGCAUGCUUUGUUGAGUGUAGCGAGUUGAUUACUAAUGUCUCCCUCGAGAAGGCGAGUAAGGUGUAAAAAAGAUGAUUUUCCUAGUAGAAUCCGCUGGAAAGCGGAGCCAAAGAAGGUGAUAGCCCUGUACGCGAAAGGAAUUAUCGCCUUACCGUUAUCGACUCAAGUAUCCCGGUCCUCGUGAAAGGUCGGGUGAAUCCAGCGCGACUAUGCGCUAAGGCUAAAUACUCUUUAUGAUCGAUAGUGAACUAGUACCGUGAGGGAAAGGUGAAAAGUAGGCCGGUAAGGCCGUUGAAAUAGUACCUGAAACCAUGCGCUUACAAGGAGUCAACGCGGUGUCUCACUAACGUAAGACACCGUUAUGGCGUUCCUAUUGAAGAAUGAGCCAACGAGUUUGUUGGACGUUGCCUGUCUAAGUCCUAUGGGACGAAGGCACAGCGAAAGCGAGUCCGAAAGGGCGUAACCGCUAAUUUUUAGUCGCGAAUAUUGCGCGAAUUCGCGUUUAUUCGCGUCUUAAAAAUUUGCGGUAAAGCAGCGUUCACAAAACCCGAAACCCGGUGAUCUAGCCAUGAGCAGGGUGAACCCCGAUGAAAAUCGGGGGGAGGCCCGAACCCGUUAGCCGUGCAACACUAUGGGUUGACUUGUGGCUGGGGGAGAAAUUCCAAUCGAACUGGGUUAUAGCUGGUACUCUCCGAAAUAGCUUUAGGGCUAGCCUUGCGUGUUUGCCUUGGGGGUAGAGCACUGAAUCGACUUCGGCGGAGCAAUCCGUCGAGUCGAAUCAAACUUCGAAUACUAAGGUUUAUAAACGCAGGAGUCAGACUAUGGGGGCUAAGCUCCAUCAGUCAAAAGGGGAACAGCCCAGAUCUCUGUUUAAGGUCCCUAAAUUUUCCCGACGUGAAGUCGGGAUCCCGAUCCCGCAAGGGUAUCGGGAGGAUUAAGUGUAAAAGGAAGUGCGGUAGCUUGGACAACUAGGAGGUUGGCUUAGAAGCAGCCAUCCUUUAAAGAGUGCGUAACAGCUCACUAGUCAAGCUACUUCGCGCCGAAAAUGUACCGGGGCUAAAUCCAAUACCGAAGACGAGAAUGCGCACCGCGUAAGCGGCGCGCGUGGUAGGAGAGCAUUUUGUACGCGAUGAAGGCAAAGGCGCGAGCCAUGCUGGAGCGUACGGAAGAGAGAAUGUUGGCAUAAGUAGCAAAAAUCUUGAUGAGAAUUCAAGACACCGUAAACCCAAGGUUUCCUGGGCAACGCGAAUCGACCCAGGGUUAGUCGGUCCUAAGCCGAGGCUGAAAAGCGUAGGCGAUGGACAGCAGGUUAAUAUUCCUGCACUCCCGUUUUUUUGUCCUAGUUGACGCAUCUUUGUAGUUUGAAUGUGUUUUGGUUACACGCAUGGUCCGACGCAAGUCGGACCGCAGGUGAAGUCGCAAGAUGGAACCGAUUCAGGCGAAAGGGGUGCCCAGAAAAGACGAAAGACGUUAAAAGGACGGGAUCCGUACCGCAAACCGACACAGGUGGGUGGGCGUAAGUAUGCUAAGGUGUACGAGAGAACCCUUGUUUAGGAACUCGGCAAAAAAGUGGCCGUAACUUCGGGAUAAGGCCUGCCCCGCAGCGAUGCGGGGUUGCAACAAACGUAUCUCAAGUGACUGUUUAACAAAAACAUAGGUCCCUGCGAAGCCGUAAGGCAAUGUAUAGGGGCUGAUGCCUGGCCAGUGUCAGAACGUUAAGAGGAGAGGUGAAAUUCUGCGCAAGCAGAACGUAGCUUUGAUUUGAAGCGCUGAUGAACGCCGGCGAUAACUAUAAUCGUCCUAAGGUGAAAUAGCUGCCUUAGUGAGGUGAAAGACCUCCUUUGAACUUUGUCUAUGCCGACAAAGAAGUAAAAGAAAAUCUAACUAAAUGCUGGGACAACCGUGUAUCUAGUACUACCAAAAUUUUGGUAAUAAUGUAUCUAGUGCGGUCAAUCAGCAGGAAAGAAUUUUAAGUAAAAAGAUAUUAAAGAUAUAAGGAAAGAAAAAUUUUACUUAAAAUAAUCCUCAGAGACUAUACGUUAGACCCGCCGAAAAGGCGAGGAAGAUAUAGGCCGAACUGCUCCGACGCAAAGUCGGAGUCCCAAUUAUAAAUCGUUUAGAUUAAUGGUUGGGACAUGGCGACAUGCAGAACGCAUCAGAAAUGAAUGCGUCAAUUCCAUAAAAGGAAUUUGUAACAAAAAAAGAGCGUAAUCCCUUGUCGGGUAAGUUCCGACCCGCACGAAUGGCAUAACAACUUGAGAACUGUCUUAAUGAGGGACUCGGCGAAAUUACAAGACUCGUGAAGAUGCGAGUUACCCACGGCUAGACGAAAAGACCCCGUGAAGCUUUACUACAACUUGAUAUUGGAAUAAGAAUGUUCAUGUUCAGCGUAGGUGGGAGUUCCGACGUAAAGUCGGAACGCCAAUGAGACACCACCCUUGGUCAUUUUUAUUUCUAACCUUGGCGCCUGAAUCGACGCUAGGGAACAGUAUCUGGCGGGUAGUUUAUCUGGGGCGGAUGCCUCCCAAAAGGUAACGGAGGCGUUUACAAAGGUCGGCUUAGUCCCGAUGGAAAUGGGACUGGACGUGCAAGCGCACAAGCCGGCUUUACUGCAAGUCUGACACGACAAGCAGUUGCGAAAGCAGAAGCUAGUGAUCCGACGGUCCCUCAUAGGAGGGCCGAAGCUCAACGGAUAAAAGCUACUCCGGGGAUAACAGGCUGAUCCCGCCCAAGCGCUCACAGCGACGGCGUGGUUUGGCACCUCGAUGUCGGCUCAUCGCAUCCUGGGGGUGGAGAAGCUCCCAAGGGUUGGACUGUUCGUCCAUUAAAGCGGUACGCGAGCUGGGUUCAGAACGUAAGUUACAUUGCGUUCUAGCAUAGGAAUAUGCUAUAAUAAAUUUGGCUAAUAACGGUGAAACCCAAGAAAUUUCACGAACUGAAUUUUUUGGGCAAUACCGUGGGAAGACCAAAUGCAAACCUAUGUUGACAGAUUUAGAAAAGGCAUAUAUUGCAGGUUUUUUAGAUGGAGAUGGUUGUAACAUGUUUCAACUUGUUAGGAGAAAAGAUUAUAUAUUUGGAUAUCAAGUAAGGGCAAGCAUUGUUUUUUAUCAGAAGACAGUGCAUAAACAGAUUCUUACUUGGUUAAAAUCAAAGUUGAGAUAUGGGUAUAUCCGCGAAAGAAAAGAUGGAAUGACUGAGUAUACCAUUGUCGGUAAAAAUUAUGUGAUGGAAACACUACAUAAAUUAUAUCAAUCAUUGCGUCUUAAAAAAGAUCAUGCAAAAGUUGCCUUUAAGAUAGAAAAGAUUUGGCCAAAGAAUUUUGACCAAAAAAAUCUGUUAGCAAUAGGAAAACUAGUUGAUCAUUUUAAAGAAUUAAAUUACUCCAAAAAGAGGAAAAAUACUUCUUUAACCGUCAAACAGUUUUUUGCAAAAGGUCCCCGUAACGACUGAUUUCCGAUACUAUUAUCGGAAUGAGAUAGAAGGUACCCGAUAUUCGGGAAAAAUAAACUUUUAUCAUACGCCAACUCCUAUCCUCGACAAUGCGUCGAGACGGAUGAAGAUAUAGUCUGUGCCAUUAGUAAUAAUGGAAAAAACAUGCGUGAGACAGUUCGGUCUCCUAUCUGUCGUGGGCGUCGAAACUUGCGGGGGCUCUUUCCUAGUACGAGAGGACCGGAAAGAACGAACCUCUAGUGUGGCAGUUGUCCUACCAAGGGCAUAGCUGCGUAGCUACCGUUCGGCACGGAUAAGCGCUGAAAGCAUCUAAGCGCGAAGCCGUCCCCAAGAUUAGGUUUCAAGACUCCUCGUAGAUGACGAGGUUGAUAGGCGGCAGGUGUAAGGCCCGUAAGGGCUUGAGCCGAGCCGUACUAAUAAGUCGGCAAACCCUCCCGA